rnacentral:lncRNA from 1 species
AUGAGCCAGCUUCAAGACUCACCAAAGAGCGGCUUCCGGAGCCAGACUUGGCUCAGAACGCCCAGCAAUGUAAAUUCACCCAACACGACGGCCGGGCAGUGUCAGUCAUCCACAAUGUGCCGGGCCCACUGGGGAGCAGGCGGCAAGAGCCCCACUAACGCCUUUCCUGCCUCGCAUGCCCCGAAUGCUGGCUGCACCUGCCUCCCACACACCCCAGGGCCCACACGCAUCUGCCCCAAGUUUCCAGUGAGGUCGUGUGCACCGUUCUCACAAGGAUGUGUGACAGCCACGAGGCAGAGGCCGUACCUGGAACACGAGGCCCUUGCUGUACGAAGAGUCCAGGACCGGCUGCAGAGAGAAGUGACUCAGGCGCGUGUAGCAGGUCCCAUACUCGGCCACCUCCGAGAGCAGGCUGCUGAUGCUCUCGGGAGACGCUCCCGACACGUGGACACCCCGCUUCACCACAAAGGUCUGGGCCGGCUGCACAGGGGUAGAGGACACUGCUCAGAGGCCAGGCACCCAGACCCCCAAGAAGGUGCCAUCUCCCUCCACCCUUGCACCCAACCCCACACCACCUAGAGUGCCCCCAGGACCCAAAAGCAAAUGCCCAGAAGGCACACCCAGAACUCCUACACUGAGGGACAAAAACAUACAAACCAAAACAAGGCACAAAUUCUCACCACACUGAAAAAUACAUGUUUAAAAUGCCAAGUGUAGAAAAGGGUAGGAAACAACAGAACACCUUCCACAGGACACAAGUACAUAGACAGCCUCCUAGGGCAGAAGCUAUAAAACAUGUUUGCCGUGAGACCCGCUCAUUCAACUCUUCGGGAUGAAACAGCGGAAACGAUGGAAGAUGCACAAAGACUCGCCACAGCACAUUCCCCGCAAUGUGUUUGUAACCAGAGAGUGGAGACCCCCAGUAGAGGGCUCAUGACAACCGAAACGAACGGGGUGCAGCAGAAGCCAGGAGGGAGGUUACAGCUGCAAAUACGCACGUUAGAAAGGAAAAGAGAGAUCCCACAUCACAAGGAAACAAGAUACUAAAUCACAACAGCACUGUGUAUAUCCUAAAGAGAUAUUUUAAAAAGAGCUGUUAGGCCAAGCACAGUGGCUCACACAUAUAAUCCCAGCACUUUGGGAGGCUGAGGCAGGAGGAUCACUUGAGCCCAGGAGUCUGAGACCAGCCUGGGCAACAUAGCAAGACCCCCAUCUCUACAAAAAUUUUAAAUUAGGCCAGGCAUGGUGGCUCACGCCUGUAAUCCCAGCACUUCAGGAGGCCAAGGCGGGUGGAUCACUUCAGGUCAGGAGUUCGUGAUGAGCCUGGCCAACAUGGCAAAGCCCCGUCUCUACUAAAAACACAAAAAUUAGCCGGGCAUGGUGGUGUGUACCUGUAGUCCCAGCUACUCAGGAGGCUGAGGCAAGAGAAUCGUUGAAUGUGGGAGGCGGAGGUUGCAGUGAGCUGAGAUUGUGCCACUGCACUCCAGCCUGGGCGACAGAGUGAGACUCCGUCUCAAAAAAAAAAAAAAAACAAAAAAACACACAGACAUCUCUAGGCUGGGUGUGGUGGCUCUUGCCUCUAAUUCCCGCACUUUGGGAGGCCAAGGCCGGCGCAUCACGAGGUCAGGAGAUCAAGACCAUCUUUGCAGGGGCCUUUGAAAACAGUAUGCUGAGAAUAGAUAGGCUCAAGGACAGCAUCUCCAACCUAACUUUAAUGAACUCCCUGAGGCCAAGAAGGCGGUAGAUAAAGAAUAUAGAAAACAAGGUACUGAGUAGAAGGUUAU